UUACGGGGACAGAAGUAUGCUGAAAUCUAAGGUAGUAAUCUCUGAAACUCUUCAACAAAGAAGCAUUAGCACAAGCAGUGGCAUUUCUUUGUUUGGCUGAAAAGAAGGACUGAAGCUGUUCUGGGAUUUCAUCUUACCUUCUGGAAACCAAGUGUAUUCUGUGAAGUCUGAUAAAAAGAAACUGCCACCUGUUAGACCAUGAAGCACAAGCAGUAUCAGAAGAAAAUUCCAAAGUAGCCAUGCUCUGAGAGUAUUUUGUCCUGAACUGAGUAACACUCAA